rnacentral:lncRNA from 1 species
ACUACACGUCCACCAAGGGCGCCAUCGUGUCCUUCACGCGCGCGCUGGCGCUGCAGCUCGCCGACAAGGGCAUCCGUGUCAAUGGCGUCGCGCCGGGGCCUAUCUGGACGCCGCUCAUCCCGGCGUCGUUCGGCGAGGAGAAGGUGGAGCAGUUCGGCUCCGAGGUGCCCAUGAAGCGCGCCGGACAGCCGGCUGAGGUUGCGCCUAGCUACGUCUUCCUCGCCAGCGAGCAGGACUCGUCGUACAUCACCGGACAGUUCCUCCACGUCAACGGUACACGCACGAGCCGCCGCCGCCGCCGGCCUGCUGCUGCUUAAUUUCUGCUGCUACUUGCAUUGGUUCUCACUCUCUCUGCUACCUACUCGUAGGUACUAACUGAUGUGUGUGUUGUUUUGCAGGAGGCGUCAUCGUCAAUGGGUAGAGAGAAGUUAGCUAGACGACGACGACGACGGGGAUCGCCGGCGGCGGUAGGAGGUGUGGCCAUGGAGUCCUUUUGGGGUGUGCGUCGUCGUGUCCAAGUCGGAGGGAAGGAAGUGUCGAG